AUUGAACGCUGGCGGCAGGCCUAACACAUGCAAGUCGAGCGGAUGAAGGGAGCUUGCUCCUGGAUUCAGCGGCGGACGGGUGAGUAAUGCCUAGGAAUCUGCCUGGUAGUGGGGGAUAACGUCCGGAAACGGGCGCUAAUACCGCAUACGUCCUGAGGGAGAAAGUGGGGGAUCUUCGGACCUCACGCUAUCAGAUGAGCCUAGGUCGGAUUAGCUAGUUGGUGGGGUAAAGGCCUACCAAGGCGACGAUCCGGAACUGGUCUGAGAGGAUGAUCAGUCACACUGGAACUGAGACACGGUCCAGACUCCUACGGGAGGCAGCAGUGGGGAAUAUUGGACAAUGGGCGAAAGCCUGAUCCAGCCAUGCCGCGUGUGUGAAGAAGGUCUUCGGAUUGUAAAGCACUUUAAGUUGGGAGGAAGGGCAGUAAGUUAAUACCUUGCUGUUUUGACGUUACCAACAGAAUAAGCACCGGCUAACUUCGUG
rnacentral:rRNA from 1 species